rnacentral:rRNA from 1 species
UAAACUAGGAUUAGAUACCCUAUUAUUUAAAGUGUAAAUAUAUUAACUAGAGUAGUAGUAGUUAUGUUCUUGAAACUAAAAAAAUUUGGCGGUAUUUUAGUCUUUUCAGAGGAACCUGUUGUUUAAUCGAUAAUCCACGAUGGACCUAACUUAAUUUUGUUUUUCAGUUUGUAUAUCGCUGUUAUAGAAUAUUUUAUAAGAAUAAUAAUUUUCAAUAAAUUUUAUAAAAUUGUAUAUCAAGUCAAGGUCCAGUUUAUAAUUAAGUAUUAAAUGGGUUACAAUAAAUAUAUUUAUACGGAAUAAUAAGUGAAAUAUUAUUAGGAAGGUGGAUUUGAUAGUAAAUUUUUAUAGAUAGAAAAAUUGAUUAUAAGCUCUAAAAUAUGUACACAUCGCC